GUGCUUACAAAAAUGUUGGUUUGUGUUCACUGUUGCUAUACUCGUAAGUCGAUUUGUUAUAGGUUAUACAUUACAGCCUGAGUUAGUAGAUGCUUCAAAGACAGUAAAACUAAAAAAUAUAGUGUAGCGAAAUAGCGAAAUAGUUCGCUACAUUUUUUAAGCAGUAGCUGUAGUCAGUAGCGAACUACCUUUGUUCAAAAGUAGCAGUAGUUGUAGCUGACUACAUAUUUUUGAAGUAGCUGUAGUUAUAGCGAACUACAAAAAAUUUGUAGUCAACCCACCCUUGCCCAUAACCUACACAUGACAUGCAUGGCAGUACCCUAUAGUACAUAUAUAUGUACUGUACUCCGUUCUGGCAUUAACUAUUUCGCUGACCUCAGAAUGACAUUUCGUCAAAACUUUUUUCUUCAAGAUUGGUUUAGAAACAAAUUUGUAGUAGGGUUAGGUUACGGUAAGGAUUAAGGUUAGAGUUAGUGUUUGAGUAGAGUUAGUGUUAGUAAAACCGUUGCUUUGUUACGUUUUGUCACUCUGAGCCUGGUUAUAGGUGUAAUAAAUGUAUAUAAAUUUCCACUCGACAAUUUCCAUUUACAAUGCCCCAUCAACCAUCAAUAUUAAACCACUCUCCCUGGAGAUUCAUUACAGGAGGAAACCUAAACUAACUUUAUUUAUCUCAGUUGAGCAGCGUAUAAAGUUAGUUUAGACUUUAGUUUAGGUUUCCUCUUGUAGUAACACUGGAUCAAUAAGAGAUGAUCCUUACUGGACCUCUAGGGAGAACAAUUUACAACUGAUAGAGCUAUCCAGUAUAAAUAAAGUUAGUUUAGUUUAGGUUUCCUCUUGUAGAAACACCAGUAUAAAUAAGGUUAGUUUAGUUUAGGUUUCCUCUUGUAGUAACACUGGAUCAAUAAGUUAAGAGAUGAUCCUUACUGGAUCUCCAGGAAGAACAGGUUAGAACUGAUAGAGCUAUCCAGUAUAAACAAAGUUUAAUUUAGGUUUCCUCCUGUAGUAACACUGGAUCAAUAAGGAUAUUGGACCUUUAUAGGAGAAACAAUUUAGAACUGAUAGAGCUAUCUAGGUAAUUAUUAACUCUUUUAGUUGAAUAUAAACACAUCAGCGGCAAGCUUAGCCUACUUGACGAGUCAUAUACUGGCACAGAAGUGCCUUGCAAUAAGUACUCAAACAUAAGUCUAGGAAAUUCGACCGUGGCGACAUCACCGAA